AGAGAGAGACAUGCGCGCAUAUCAAUAAGCGGAGGAAAAGAAACUAACAAGGAUUCCCUUAGUAACGGCGAGUGAAGCGGGAAGAGCUCAAAUUUGAAAUCUUCAAGGUUUUACCUUGACGAAUUGUAGUUUAAAGAAGUGUUUUCUGCUGAAGUUUUGGUAAAAGUUCUUUGGAAUAGGACAUCAUAGAGGGUGAGAAUCCCGUAUUUGACCAUUAUUUUCAGCUUUGUGAUACACUUUCAAAGAGUCGGAUUGUUUGGGAAUGCAGUCCAAAAUGGGUGGUAAAUUUCAUCUAAAGCUAAAUAUUGGCGAGAGACCGAUAGCGAACAAGUACCGUGAGGGAAAGAUGAAAAGUAACUUUGAAAAGAGAGUUAAACAGUACGUGAAAUUGUCAAAAGGGAAGCGUUUGACACCAGUGUUGUUUUCUCGAAAAUCAAUUAAAAAUGGCUCGAUUUUGUAUUGCUUGAGACCUUAAAAGCUCACUGUACAUUUUUCGUGUCUUUUUUAAUGCACUUUUCGUUUAACAAGUCAACAUCAGUUUCUUUUGUUGUAAAAGGGUCAUUGGAAGGUGGCUUUCUUUUCGGAGAAAGUGUUUAUAGCCUUUGGCCUCUGCAAUCGGAAGAGACUGAGGUCUGCAGCGUAGACUCUUCGGGGUUAGAUACAUUUGUGCUAAGUUAUAGCUUUUUAUAGACAACUUGUUGACUAUAAUUAGUCUUGUAGCUUACUCGCUUAUGCUAUUUUACCUACGCUUAGGAUGUUGAAGAUGUAGCACAUCAU
rnacentral:rRNA from 1 species